rnacentral:lncRNA from 1 species
CUAGAUGGAAUGAAUCACCAUAGAUAGUCGAACCACACUUAAUUUAACACAGUACACGAAACAAAGCAAACGGGACGGGUCGAAGGGGCGCGCUUGCUUGCUUGCUUCCCUACACGAAUGCGGCGGCGGCCGCCGCGGCCCCAGCGGUGCGGAGGAUCUGGUAGUAGACCUGCGGGUUGGCCACAAACGCCGUGCGGGAAAUCAGGAAGCCGGCGGCACCAGGCGCCUUCAUCAUGGCGCCGGCGGCGGCUGGGGCGGCUGCAGCAGGCCAGAGAAAGUAGGCGCCCACGGCGCCCCCGAUGACCAUCGCCGCGGUCCCCACGGCACCGUCGCGCGUGGAGAGCUUUGCAGGCAGGUACGGUUUGGCCAACGAGAUGGUGGAGGCCAUGGCCGCUCCUGUAUGGUUCUUGACGUAGCCGAGACCGGUGACGAUGUCGCCUGUGCUCAUCUCGGUUAGCUUUGCGGGAAGGUACGGCUUGGCCAACGAGACUGUGGAGGCCAUGGCCGCUCCUGUAUGGUUCUUGACGUAGCCGAGACCCGCGACGAUGCCACCCGUGUUCAUCUCGGUUAGCUUUGAGGGGAGGUACGGCUUGGCCAGCGAGACGGUGGAGGCCACGGCGCUCGCCUGUUGCUUGACGAGGUCGAGACCGGAGAAGAGGAGGUCGCGGGUGCUCAUCUCGCCUGGUUUUCCUUUCCGAUUUGUGGUCGUUUGUGUGGACUUAUACCUCACUAAAUGGAUGAGACGACGCAAAGCGUGGAUUUAUAGCGACGAAGGUGAUCUAUACCUAGACAACGACGCGCGACGACCUUGACUACCAACAGUACUAUCGACAGCACUAACAUGUCACCAUAUGAAGAAGAAUCAAAAGAUUACAAAAGAGGCUAUAUAAAAAUCAUUCACCGCUGGUCCCUUUGUACCUACUCGGCUAAAGCACAGGAUGCCCAGGCGUGGUGCGGAAGGCAGUCACCUCGACCAACUCUACUUUCCAUGCCAUGAUAGACUGAUACACCCAUCUAAACAACCAAGUGUACGGAUUAUCUAUAAUUUAUUAAACCAACUCUACCGCACGACCCCAUUUCGUUCGUUCUUAGUUCGUUUAGAUUAAACGGACGAAUAGCUGAACCCGACGUGCAGUCCCAAAUGAACAAAUAUCUGAUUUUCGUCCAUUUUCAUUCUAUUCCGGGCCCAAACAUGCGUCGCGUUUGGAGUAAAACGGACAACGUGCGGACGGGCGGGACACGCGUCCUUGUCCUCCCCAUGGCCCGCCUGUCGGGACACUGGCACUUCAUUCAUUUCCAACGCCUCCAUCCGCCCUCCCCGCCCCACCUCGCCGUCGGAGCCGCCACUAUUUUUUCAGCCGCCUCCUCACUGCUCACCCCCCGGCCGUCCAUACCAAACCAAGUCUCGCCAUGGCCGCCACCACGCCCACGCUUUCGUAGGAAUUUUGGUCGUCUUUUGGAGAAGUUUUGGCCGUCGCCUUCGUAUCUGGUGCCAGAGGGGAUACGACCGCCGGGUGCUCUAUAGCGACCUGUAGCCGGCCGCCAAACGACCCUCCUGCAUCGAGGUGAUUUCCGCAGCCUAUUUGUCACCACGACCGCAAGGUUUCUAACACUUUGCCAACAAAGGUAUGGACAAUGGAGAUGAAUUUUUCUUCAACCACUUCUUUUGUUCAUCGGAUGAUGCGUCCUCGGAUGACGAAGAUCUUGUGGUGGUUGCACCGGUCGUUCACGACCACAUUGAAAGACAGCGGCCUCGCUACAGGCGGUCAGUCCUGGGCCGUGCUCCCAACCUGAACCACAUCAGAGAGAGAGAGGCGACGCCAUGCUCUAUGUCGAUUACUUUGAGAAUACCACACUCUUUGAACCGAAGAAAUUCCAUCGUUGUUUUCGUAUGGCAAGACAUAUGUACAGUCGUAUCCGAGAGAGAGUGAUUCGUCAUGACCCAUUCUUCGAGUGCAAAACGGAUGCCCUUGGCAAGCUUGGAUUCUUCUCUUAUUAGAAAUGCACCGCGGCCAUCCGCAUGCUUGCAUAAGGUAUUCCACGCGAUUUUGUGGAUGAGUACGUGCGCAUGAGUGAGUUCACAUGUCUGAUGUCAAUGUACAACUUCUGCAAUGCCGUGGUGGCAGUGUUUGGCCCUCAAUACUUGAGGCAGCCAAAUGCUGCUGAUACAAAAAGGCUGUUGGUAAUCAACGCCGAUAGAAGCUUUCCAGGCAUGCAUGGCAGCAAAGAUUGUAUGCACUAGGAGUGGAAGAACAGUCUAUUUGCUUGACAGGGCCAGUACAAGGGGCAUGUGAAAGCGUGCACUCUCAUAUUAGAAGUUGUGGCUUGACAAGAUCUUUGGAUAUGACAUUCUUUCUUCAGCAUGGCAGGUUCUCACAAUGAUAUCAACGUGCUGCAGCGUUCUCCAGUCUUCGCAAGGUUUGCACAAGGCCAUUCUCUACCUAGCAACUUUGAGGUCAAUAGCCACCACUACAACAAGGGAUACUACCUAGAUGCUGGUAUAUAUCCUAAGUGGUCAACUUUUGUGGAGACAAUCUCGAAACCCCAAUGUGAUAAGAGACAGAGAUUUUCCCAAAUGCAAGAGAGUGCUAGAAAGGAUGUGGAGCGUGCUUUUGGUGUGCUUCAAUCCCGAUGGGGUAUCGUUCGAAACCCUUCACUGAACAUGGAUGAAGGGAAGCAUUGGAGGUGAUGACUACUUGUGUGAUCAUGCACAACAUGAUCAUCAAGGACGAGCGUGAUAACAACAUCUUCGACCAAGGAUUUGAUUUUUGAGGUGAAAAUGUUGAGCCCCUGCAGCAAGAACCGGCCACAUUUGAACAGUUUACCCAAUUCCAUCGUGAAAUGCGUGAUUGCACACUCAUUUGGAGCUUUAAAAUGACUUCGUUCAGCACAUGUGGAAUCACAUUGGCAACCAAUAGAUGUAUUGGUUUAUUAUGUUUAUUCAAGACAAUUUCAAUUUGGUUGUAAAACCAUUUUAUUCGAGACAAUUUUGAUUGGGUUGUAAAACUAUUUUUAUUUGAAACAAUUAAAAUUUGGACGUGCAAACAUUGAUGAAUAUGAAUAUAUGGGCAUAUUGGUCGUGGCGGACAGGAUGCGACCAAAGGAUGCGUCCGCAUGUUGGGUGCACGGCCACCGCAUCCGAGGAAAGGCUGAGAGACGACCCCAUUGCCCUACCCAAAUGUCCGGGAAAAACGGAUGUCCGUUUGGGGUCGUGCGCUGAAGUUGGCCUUAGGAACAAGAGGUAGGCAGGAAUGAUCAAGCGUACAACACACAUAAGGGCAUCUCCAGCCGCGCCCCAAGAGGCCACUCAUGCCCCUUUUUAGACGCCGUCGUUACAAAAUCCCCCCCAGUCGGGCCCCCAGGACGUCGUUUUCCGCCAGAUGGUCCAUUUUUCGGGCCGGUGAACCCAGGCCGAACCCAGCACGCUGGGGGCACCUAGGUGCUUUGACAGAAGGAAAAGUUGUGUGUAGGACACUACUGUGAGGCGAGAAAUGCCUUUUCGCCGCUAGAUUCGCCCUCGUGCGCCACGGAACACCUCACCGCCAUGUCGAUCCCGACGCCGCCAACGUGCCCUCAGGUGCUGCCGCGCCGAUUGAAAAUGCCAUUUCCCUGCCAUUUUCGCGGUAGCCUCCAUCCUGCUCUCCCUGGGCGAGCUUUUCAAACCGCUCAGGCAGGGAUACCGGCGACUGCCCACCAACUACGCCAUUCAGGUGUUUGGUGAUUAGCCUGCUCGGUAAUGGACUCAAACGACGAUGACACGUUCAUGGCUCUGAUGGAGGAGAAAGCCGAGGACGACACCACCGACGAAGAGCACAUCAUGAUCCUCGCCGCGCUGGCCGGCCUAUUGCGAAUAAUGCCAAGCCGUGGAGUGGUGUCUCGGUGCCGGGGCGCCGCAAGAGCAAACAAAGACAUCACAUGGAGGUCUAUUACAUGCUCUACAUCGACUACUUCGCCGACAGUCCUAUGCAUGGCGAGAAAUUAUUUCCGCGCCAUUAUCGGAUGGACCCGAAGCUCUUCCUCAGGAUUGUGAAUGUCAUCUAUGAGUUCGACAUCUAUUUCAUUUGCAAGAAGGAUUGCACCAGUACGGUUGGAUUAUCCUCGUUCUUGAAGUACACCACGACUAUGAGGAUCCUUGUGUAUGGAUCUCCCGAUGAUAUACAGUAAUACUAAGGAGCAUGGUCGAGUCGACCACCUUUGAGUGUUUGUAGAAGUUUUGUAGGAUAGUGGUGGCAGUGUUUGGACCAUAAAAUUUGCAAUCACCCAAUGCUGAAGACACUGCUCGGAUCCUAGCGUAGAAUGCAGUAAGAGGAUUUCAUGGGAUGCUUGGAAGCAUCGACUGCAUGCAUUGGGCAUGAAAAAACUAUCCAUUAGCUUGGCAGGGGAUGUACGAAGGCACCAAAAGAGGUUGCAGAGUGGUACUUGAGGUAGUGGCCACAUAGGACCUAUGGAUUUGGCACUCCUUUGGUAUGCUAGGAACUCACAAUGACAUCAACAUACUUCAGUCCUCGAAUGUCUUUGCAAAUCUUGUUGAAGGUCAUGCUCGUUCGGUGAACUUCGAGGUCAAUGGGUGCCACUACAACAAGGGAUACUAUCUAGCAGAUGGUAUCUCCGGGAUUGUCCACAUUUGUGAAGAGUAUCUCAAACCUUGUGCGAGGAGGCAAGAAGUCACACUUUGUUAAGUGUCAGGAGGCUUGCAGGAAGGAUGUCCAGCGAGCAUUUGGUGUGCUCCAAUCUCGAUUUACUAUUGUCCAGUACCCCACUCUUACCUGUGAUACGUCUCCGUCGUAUAUAUAUUUUUUGAUUGUUCCAUGCCAAUAUUAUACAACUUUCACAUAUUUUUUGCAACAUUUUAUAUGAUGUAUUGGACUAACAUAUUGAUCCAGUGCCAAGUGUCAGUUCUUGUUUGUUGCAUAUUUUUUGUUUCGGAGAAUAUCCAUAUCAAACAAAGUGCAACGCGAUAAAAUUUUAAAGAGAAUUAUUUUGAACAUGGAAUCAACGUAAAUGGCGGCCCACGACCUCCACUAGACACCAGGGCGUGCUUGGUCCACCUGGCACAGGGUGGUGUCUACUGGGCACCCCUUAAGUUGGUUGGGGCUCUUCUUAGGGUACAAGAAAUAUAAUUUAUUGAUAAAAGUCCCUCCAAAAUUUCGGCACAACCGGAGUUACGGAUCUUCGAGAAUUUAUGAAACGGUGAAGGACCAUAAAACAGGAACAUGCAACAGAAGAGAACAUAGAGGGAGAUGCAAUCUCGGAGGGGCUCCUUCGCCUCCGCCGCCAUGGAGGCCGUGGACCAGAGGGGGAACUCUCCUCCCAUCUAAGUGGAGGCCAAGGAAGAAGAACAAGGAGGGAGGCUGUCCCCCCUCUCUCCCGGUGGCACCGGAGUGCCGUCGGGGCAAGGAGCGUGACGGAGAUUGACACGUCUCAAACGUACAGACUUUUACAAACACUUUUGCUAUUGUUUUGGCCUCAUUCAUGCAUGAUUUUAAUGAAACUAACCUGAACUGACGCUGUUUUCAGUAGAGCUGCCUAUAUGGUUUUCUUGUGUGCAGGAAAAUGGAUGUUUAGGCGCCCCGGAAAAUUCCAAUAAAAAAUAGAUAAAUCCACGAACCGGGAGGAACCCUGGGUCAGAAGAUGGGCGAGAGGGGGGCCACCAUGCCUCCAGGCGACCUUUGGGCGCGGCCUGCCCCCUGGCCGCGUUGGGAGGCCGCCUGGUGGGGUCCACCUCCUCUGAUGCCCUACUUUGUCUUCUAUUUUUUUCCUGAUGGAGAAAUCCCAGAAGAGAAGUCGUUUUGCAAGUUCUCGACGCGGAGCCGCCGCCACCCUCAGUUCUUUUUCGGGAGAGCUAAUCUAGAGGCUGCCUUGGCCUCCGGAGAGGGGAAAUCGUCGCCAUCAUCAUCACCAUCUUCACUCCAUCACCCUUCCAUGGAUUCCCCCAUCAUGUAUGAGUAAUUCCAUGUUGUAGGUGAAGUGGACGGCAGGAAUUGGAUGAGUUAGAUCAUGUAAUAGUUCGUCGGAUUGUUGGGGGCAUGUUGCCAAUCAUCUACCAUGGUGUUUAUCAUCUUUUCUACUACUUGUUACUCUUAAUGCUUGUCACUUCGGGACCGAGUGCCAUGAUUUCAGAUCUGAAUAUCUUAUGUUUUCAUGAAUAUAUUUGUGUUCUCGAUCCUAUCUAUGAGUAGUAUGCACCUAUUAUAGUCCGGAACAGGCAAUCCCAACGGUGACAUCUUGGGACAAAAAAAGGGAUAGACUAUGAUUUGAGGAUUCCAUGUAUCCAUUGAUUGUUAAUGCUUUGUUCCGGUGCUCUUUGACAGGAGCACCUUAAUCUCCAUAAGUUCCUUUUGGCCCCAUUGGUAGCGGGAUGAUAGGAAAAAACAUGUUGUGCAAGUUCUUAUUGCAAGCACGCACGACUACCUUGGGAUACAUGCCUAAUGAUUGAUAUUUUCCUAGAUGAUCAUUCCUUCUCUAUGUGCCUUGCCCCAUGUUAAAUACAUGAUAUCUCUCAUCCAUGACCAACCAACCAUCUCCGUAGCCUACAUGGUUUUAAUCCCGCUAGUCACUAGUUGCUCUACUUUAGCUGUUUUACUUUUGUUGCUUUGCCACCAUUAUCUCCGUUGCCACAAUCACUUUCAUAUCACCGUUACUACUAAUAUUUCGUUGCCAAGCAAGUAUCUUUCAGGUGCGGUUGAACUGACAACUCAACUAUUAAAGCUUAUAAAUAUUCUUUGGCUCCCCUUGUGUCGAAUCAAUAAAUUGGGUUAACUUACCCGCGAAGACUGUUGCGAUCCACUACACUUGUGGGUUAUUAAGACUAUUUUCUGGCAUCGUUGCGAGGGAGCAUAUAUUUAUUUACAAGUCUACUUGGAGUUAUUUUGCUUGCUGCGAUUUAUCCACUAUGGGUAAGAAAGGAGACCCCAAGGUUCCAAUCUUACCAUCUACUACACGAAAAGGUAAUGUUCUUAGCACCAGAGCCAUGCUUGAUUCACCUUCCGUUAUGAGUAAGUUUGCUUCACCACCACCACAUCCUGCUUCUACCUAGUUCGUCACUAUGCCUGAUACUUUUGAUGAUGCUUCUACUACUAUUGAUGAGACUGGUUUACUUGGUUAUUUUAUUGAGUCUCAGAUUGCUAAGGCUGCAAAGCAGUCUAGGGUUGAAAUUCCUGUUACAUUCUACCCCAUUGGUGUAUCCUUUGGUUACCCAGACUUGAGUGGUCUCAGGGAAAGAAUUCUUGAUGAUGAUUAUAUUGAACUUGAUGAUGAUUUAUGCAUGGAGCUUACAGAGUGUGCUAACUCUAACCCUGCUUCUGUUAAGAAGCUGCUUGAAAAGCAUUCUAUGAAGAAAAAUUUACUCCCAAUCCUAAAUUUGCUUAAUCUCCUAUUUGCAUUGAGGAUGCUGAUUUUAAUUUCUCUGACUAUCUUUCACGUAUAUCCACAGUUGAAGUUGACCCUUUUUAUGGCAGAGAAAAGGACGAUGCUAUUGCACACCUUACCAAAUUCACUGAGUUGGGUGGCUUAUCCACUAAGAGGACAAGAAGAGAAAUUAUCAUGUUACUAAGCUACUUCCUUUCUCAUUGAAGGAAGAUGCUAAAGCAUGGUAUGAUGCACUACCAUGUGGUUACAUUAAGAGUCCUCAAGAUUUAGCUCAAUCUUUUGUUGCUAAAUAUUUUCCUGCUCAUAAGCAACAUGCUUCUUUACAAAGAAUAUAUAACUUUACACAGUUGUAGGAUGAGCACC